GCCAAGAUCAACAAGGAUAAAUAUGAAUUAAAUUUUUUUGGAGUUGUCGAAUCCCAAAAAAAAAAGCGCUUAAUCUUAACAACACAAUCAACAGUAUACAUUUUAGACAGGAUAAUAAAGAUAGAAUCGUUUUCAGCACUCAAUUCUUAGUUAUAACAUGUGCAUUAAAUUAACAGCCGAACAUGGUUCCAUUAAUAGUGUCAUUGUACGAUGCCGAAUUUGGAAUUGAAUCAAGCAUGAUACGAGCUUGGUAUGUUAUCUCAAGCAUAACGAAAUUAUUAACGUAACAUUUUCGGAAAGUAAAACAAGACUUUGUUUCUAACCGGUCGAAAAAACAAAACAGCAUCUUCAAUAAAAAAAAAUUCGCCGAG
rnacentral:lncRNA from 1 species